GAGGGUAUAGCUCAAGUGGUCGAGCACAUGCUUACCAUGCAUGAGGUCUUGGUUUCAAUCCCCAGUGCCUCCU
rfam:Camelus ferus unplaced genomic scaffold scaffold175, whole genome shotgun sequence.